GUCACGGGAAAUCGGCCUCCGGGUGGGAGAUCUGGCCUGUCUUGCAGGAUUGGCCCAGCGCAGAGGGGCUGAGGGACUUUCUCUGCCGGUGCUGCCAGCCUCGCUCCCGCCUGGCCUCAUCCCCAUCCAGGUUGCCAGGAGGGUCUUCUGACACUAAAGGUCUUCUAAAGCCCACCACCUGGGCAAUGCUCACACCAGAACCCUGCAAGGUGGGCCAGGAUGACAGCCAGAUUGAUGGGCAGGGCCAGAAGACAGAGUUG